rnacentral:pre_miRNA from 1 species
AGUUGGAUCGCUGGGUCAUAUGGUAAGUGCAUUUUUAACUUUGUAAGAAACUGACAAGUUGUCUUCCAAAGUGAUUGUGUUAUAUUACAUUCACACAAACAAU